GACGAACGCUGGCGGCGUGCCUAACACAUGCAAGUCGAACGGGGUAAUGACUUCGGUUAUUACUUAGUGGCGAACGGGUGAGUAACGCGUGAGAAACCUGCCUUUCAGUGGGGGACAACAGUUGGAAGCGACUGCUAAUACCGCAUAAUGUAUCGAUGGGGCAUCCUGUUGAUACCAAAGCUUUAUGUGCUGAAAGAUGGUCUCGCGUCUGAUUAGCUAGUUGGUGAGGUAACGGCUCACCAAGCCGACGAUCAGUAGGGGUUCUGAGAGGUUGAACGGCCACAUUGGGACUGAGAUACGGCCCAGACUCCUACGGGAGGCAGCAGUGGGGAAUAUUGGGCAAUGGGGGAAACCCUGACCCAGCAACGCCGCGUGAAGGAAGAAGGCUUUCGGGUUGGUAAACUUCUUUUACCAGGGACGAAGACGUGACGGUACCUGGAGAAAAAGACCACGGCUAACUACGUG
rnacentral:rRNA from 1 species